GGCGUGUGCUCACUCCACUUUAUGAGCAGCGCACACUGAAAACAGGAGGAAUCGAUUUUACCGUGGGGCUCGCGGUGCGGCAGUGUGGAGACCUGCCGUAAUGCGGAACGUUCCUUCAGCGGACGUCCGUGAGGGGAUCCGGCGUGGGCGGGGUCUUCAGAGUCAGGCUUAUG
rnacentral:ncRNA from 1 species